rnacentral:rRNA from 1 species
AUUGAACGCUGGCGGCAGGCCUAACACAUGCAAGUCGAGCGGCAGCGGGAAAGUAGCUUGCUACUUUUGCCGGCGAGCGGCGGACGGGUGAGUAAUGCCUGGGGAUCUGCCCAGUCGAGGGGGAUAACUACUGGAAACGGUAGCUAAUACCGCAUACGCCCUACGGGGGAAAGCAGGGGACCUUCGGGCCUUGCGCGAUUGGAUGAACCCAGGUGGGAUUAGCUAGUUGGUGAGGUAAUGGCUCACAAAGGCGACGAUCCCUAGCUGGUCUGAGAGGAUGAUCAGCCACACUGGAACUGAGACACGGUCCAGACUCCUACGGGAGGCAGCAGUGGGGAAUAUUGCACAAUGGGGGAAACCCUGAUGCAGCCAUGCCGCGUGUGUGAAGAAGGCCUUCGGGUUGUGAAGCACUUUCAGCGAGGAGGAAAGGUUGGUAGCUAAUAACUGCCAGCUGUGACGUUACUCGCAGAAGAAGCACCGGCUAACUCCGUGCCAGCAGCCGCCGUAAAAC